rnacentral:rRNA from 1 species
GGGCCCGCACAAGCGGUGGAGCAUGUGGUUUAAUUCGACGCAACGCGAAGAACCUUACCAGGUCUUGACAUCCUGAUUUUGGUUGUUAGAAAUAACUUCCUUCAGUUCGGCUGGAUCAGUGACAGGUGGUGCAUGGCUGUCGUCAGCUCGUGUCGUGAGAUGUUGGGUUAAGUCCCGCAACGAGCGCAACCCACGUCUUUAGUUGCCAGCAUUUAGUUGGGCACUCUAGAGAGACUGCCGGUGAUAAACCGGAGGAAGGUGUGGAUGACGUCAAGUCAUCAUGCCCCUUACAUCCUGGGCUACACACGUACUACAAUGCUACGGACAAAGGGCAGCAAGUUCGCGAGGACAAGCAAAUCCCAUAAACCGUGGCUCAGUUCAGAUCGUAGGCUGCAACUCGCCUACGUGAAGGCGGAAUCGCUAGUAAUCG